AGCUCUAAUAGCGUAUAUUAAAGUUGUUGCAGUUAAAAAGCUCGUAGUCGGAUGUCGGGCUCGGGGAGGCUGUCGGCCUUUGGUCGGAUGGCAUCUCCGGGCCUUUCUGCCUGGGGAUCCUAUUCUACUUAACUGUAGGGUAGUGGGACGCAGGCCGUUUACUUUGAAAAAAUUAGAGUGUUCAAAGCAGGCCUACGCUUGAAUACAUUAGCAUGGAAUAAUGGAAUAGGACUUUGGUGCUAUUUUGUUGGUUUAUGGGACCGAAGUAAUGAUUAACAGGGACAGUUGGGGCCGUUUAUAUUUCGUUGUCAGAGGUGAAAUUCUUGGAUUUACGAAAGAUAAACUUCUGCGAAAGCAUUCGGCAAGGAUGUUUUCAUUG
rnacentral:rRNA from 1 species